GGUGGCUCAGUGGUAGAGUGGUUGCCUUGCAUGCAUGAGGCCCUGGGUUUGAUUCCCCAGCACCA
rnacentral:tRNA from 1 species